rnacentral:rRNA from 1 species
UACAGAGGUGGCAAGCGUUGUUCGGAAUUACUGGGCGUAAAGGGCUCGUAGGCGGCCAACUAAGUCAGACGUGAAAUCCCUCGGCUUAACCGGGGAACUGCGUCUGAUACUGGAUGGCUUGAGUUUGGGAGAGGGAUGCGGAAUUCCAGGUGUAGCGGUGAAAUGCGUAGAUAUCUGGAGGAACACCGGUGGCGAAGGCGGCAUCCUGGACCAACACUGACGCUGAGGCGCGAAAGCUAGGGGAGCAAACGGG